CGAACUUGAGUGCAAUUAAGAUAGAAGGAUGGUAUAGUCAUGUUCAACUUGUGUGCAGUUGUCCUUAACAAGUUGGAUUGAGAUUCAUCUACUCAGUGUAGACCCUUUUGGAGUUACUAAUGUCACACAAGUUAUUUAUGGAUAGGCAUUAAUUUCUCUAAUUUGGGGUCCGAGAAGCUGAGGACCGUAGAACAUUUACCCCAAAUCGACCUAUUUAGGAUGUAG
rnacentral:lncRNA from 1 species